ACAAGCAGGUCUCCGCUGUCUUCGAUGAGGGACAGAAGUGGGAACCUCUGAGACUCUGAGAAGGAGACAGCUCAGCGCAUCCGUACAACACGCCGCAAAUAGCUACGACUCUCUGUACUUGGCGGAGUGACACCGAUGCGUGUUAUACUCCGGGAAAUGAUUUUUAAUAAACCUGCGUGGUGCUUCCUUGAAUGUCACUUGACAGCUGAAGCAGAGAAUGCUAAUCCAAGGAUUCACACAUUGCUGGGAGGUGGCCGGUAUCGCAGAGCUCAGAUUUACAUGCUGGAUGUUGACUCUGCAACCAGGGGAGUAAAUGUGAUGUUCCCUUCCAGUCUCACAGGACUUGUGUUCCUAUCUAGAUGCAAACAGCUAAUAUGUAUGGAGAGGGAAGAAAAAAAAAUCUGUUCAAAACUGCACAAAGACAAGCAAUGGUAAAAUUAUCAACCCAGGAUUCUUCAAUAAAAUGCUAUAAUAAGAAGGAAACAAAAGCAGAGGAGAAGACAGACUUCUUGGGUAAGUUAUGAAUCCCCGUGCUCUUAUGUAGGCUGCUACAGCCACAAAUUAAACCUAUUUGACAAGAAGUCCUACUUGCCAAGAGCAAUUUUUUUUCUAUUAAAGGGAAAAGCUACUUUACUUCUCAAGCGUAGCAGCCAGGGGGAAGUUUAACUAGUAUGAAGCUGAAGAAAAGAAACAGUAAAGUAAAGCUGAUAAGCCUUAAAAAAGGUCAUAGGCAAGAUAGGCCCUUCUCCAGAGGUUCACAUCCAUCACAAAGUCGAUUUAAUGCUUGUUUAAGGUUCUACCUUAUGCACUAAAGCUGUGCUGCCCAUCGUAUAACUGGAUGAAAUAUCUACUAUAUCAUAGAGCAUUAUACCUGUAUCCAGACCGCGGCUAAGCUUCCCAGACCUCGCCAAGGACACAGCACCUGCUGGGAAGAGGAUUAGCGGUGGAGGAAGAAGCCCAGUUAUUAAACCUUUUAUUGGCGAGGACCUGAUGGAGACAUCAUCUCCCCUUCCCGCGUCUGCCGUGGUGCCGGAUCGUUCCCAGCGGAGCCCCCGUGGGCUAUCCCAGUUCCUCCCAGGAGCGAGGAGCUGGCGCGGUGCAUCCUCACCGCUGGCUAAACCAAGGGCAGCGAAUGCUCCUGUUGCCACCAGCUGCAAUGUUUUCUGAUGGAAAGCUGAGAGCAAACCUUCUCAGGAGGGGAGACUGCAAAUGAAAGAGGUGUCAAGCAUAAAACCCACAUGUUUCCACAGGCUGCAUCCCUCUCUUUCUUCCUUUCACCCCAGCCUCAGUACUGGAGGGCAAGUGGCUCACUUUCAAAGGACUCCUUAGUGGGUGACUACGUAAAUUAGCAGGAAUUACACAUGGUUUAGACUUCAAGCAUAUUCCUGAGACACCAUAGGGAACAAAUACAGAUUAAAAAUCUAUUUAAUUACCCAGGGAAGAGCCGGGAGGAGUCAGAGUCUCACAGCUGCCUGUUCAUUCAUUGUCAGGGAAAUAAUAAGUGUUACAUUCACACCCCGGCUGGGAUGAAGGCUGAGGGAUGUCUCUGCCUGAACUUCUUUCUUACUGCAGCCUGGAUAAUUUGGCUUAAGGUCAUGGCUCUUCAUGUUUUCAUUAAGACUCUCUUCAGUGUAAAAGAUCUUAAUAAUCAUGAUAUUUGGCAGGUAUACAGCAUUUCCAAUGUACAGAAAUCAAAGCCUUGUAGGGCUUGUAUGACGAAGGAAGACAGGCCAAGAAGCACAUGUGGACUGUCUUAAAAUGAAGGGAUGUUAUAUUCUUCACAUCCAAUGAAUCUGUCAUGAUCAAAUCCCAACUCCAGCUAACAUUUCCCGUUUGUACGUACCCGGCUAUUCAUUUCCAUGAGCUGUGUUCCCAGCUCCCAACUUGUCCAGCUGCCAGCUGGACCCUGUUUAAGUGACAAGCUCUGAGUUGUUUCCAUUUUGGUACAGGAUAAAUGACAUAGUCAUGUCCUUCUGCUUCUGAUGAGACCAGGCACUUCAGCCAAAUGUCGCUAACUAAACAGUUUUUAGUAAUCACUUCAAACCUUGGUUAGUUGGUGGAGUAAUUACAAAACACUGUCAGGGUGCAUGCUUCACAGCAGGCACAAUCCUGGCAAAAUAAGUGCAUUGCACCUCGCUGGCUGUUGCUUUUCAGGAGAAAUUACGGCCAGCCAGUUGAAGAUCAGUCUUUCACCUACCAUCCAUCUUUUUGGUGUGUGUAUGUUCUGUUUUCCAUGGCUGUUUUUUUCUUUCCUCCAGUUGGUUUUCCAAAUGCUGGAACACACCUGCAAAGGCAGGCUAUCAACAUGGAAGGACAGAAAAUGUGUUUGCAGGCUGCUGAAGUAUAAAUCAGAAAUAUUUUUGAAAGCAAGAUUAAGUCCUGCUGGCUUGUACAUUAUAGCAGCGGUAAUCUCAGCUAAUGCACUGCCACGUGUUUUUAGAAGUGAGAGUUUUGGAUACUUUAGGGGGUACAUCGUUCCAAAGAAAUUUCAUUUAAAGUUGACCAACCUGAGUCAUGGUUUGAAAUGUGGCAUUAGAAACACAAAUAUAUCCAUCUCUACAGAGUUUUAUCUCCCAGGCUCUCAGAUGAGAGCAUUUUCAACUUCCUGAAGCACAAAAUAAAAAGGUGAAACUAGAGCUGCAGGAAUGAGGUUUUUCUUCAAGCAUCAAAACAAAACCUCACCAGAAAUCAAUGAGUUUCCAAUUUAAUGCAAAGGAAACAUUUUGACUGUAAAGAAGUAAAUAAAAAGUAAAUAAAUGUUUUCUAAAUAUUGGUCUCAAAAAUCAUAGUCUCAUAAGAACUACAAACAUUAAAGUGAAACUUGCUGGUCACUGUAACAGAGCUUUUUUCAGUAAACAGCUGGCUUUUGCUAUGUAGUGCGAGGAAAGAUAUCAGUGCUUCUUUUUCAGCAUUGUUAUCAACUCACAGUUGAGGCUUCACAGAACACAGUGUGCCAGCAAAAUGGGCAUAAUACUCCCCAGGGACAGAAAUUAAAUAAGUAUUGAUAGAGCAUUUCACAAGAGUGAAUUGAAAUAUUUUAAGUACAAGACAUUAUAGCUGAUAAAAAAACCUGUGUAAUGUUUGUUCUUCAUACAGCAAGACAUGCAAAGUGCCAGGAAGAAUCCAAGAAGACGUAUUCUACCUAUUAACCAAAUGCUUACUAGCAAUAGCAAACCUGCUAAUGAGACUGGCUCACUUCAGCGCCAAAGUGAAUUUCACUGUUGAAUUUAAUAAUGAGGCUAUUAUGUUCCACAAAUUGGCACAUGCGCAUAGAUAUUGUUUUUAAUAUUUCAUUUUUUUGCAUCUGCUUCUCAUUAAAAGCAAAGCAAUAAAUUGAAAUGAAUUUGUCUGCAGACUUAAUUUCCUAACAGGACCAAAGGCUGCAAGUAAUUUCCAUUAGAAGACAGCUAAAGUGCUAGCAGAGGCCAUGAAAAAGAAUACAUGCAGAAAACACAGCCUCAAACAUGUUAUACUGCAGAUAUUACAGGUGUGGGAAGGACUGCUUCCAGCUUGUCUGAGCAGGAGAUACAAAUGCAGGGGACAUAGGCAGCCUUCUGUGGUCCAAGAUCCACACGGACUAUUCAAAAUUGAGGUUCAAACUUGACAUUAGGAAGCAUUUAUUUACAGAGAGGGUGGUCAAACACUGCAACGGGCUUCCUAGAGAGGUGCUCAUUGCUCCAAGCCUGUCAGUGUUUAAGAGGCAUUUGGACAAUGCCCUUAGUAACAUGCUUUAACUUUUGGUCAGCCCUAAAGGGCUCAGGCAGUGGGACUUGGUGAUUGUUGUGGGUCCCUUCUGAAAUAUUCUGUUCUGUCCUGUUCUGUUCUGUUCUAUUCUAUUCUAAAAUACUGCUUUAGGACAGGAAUAAGAUCUAAAUGUGUGUCUACAUGGUCUUCAUGCUUGUGAACCUGCAGGUGGGUAGAAGUACUUGCAAGCAGUACUGUAGGGAAUGCACCAGCUCACACCAUUAAUGCCCCAGAGCUGAUGUGGUCAAGGUUGCAGGUUACAUUCCUUCACUCUGCCUCUCCUGGGAAGAAUUGAACCUUGUUUCAAAGAUGAGAGAAAAGUUGAAAAUACCAGCUGAUCCUUACAGGCAGUAUUUGUCCCUAAGGCAGGAGACUAGUUCUGCCAGAGCCCAGCCACCUCUUUAUCGACACACUGGACAAGGUGGAUAGUGAUCAGCAUUGACAAAUCUCAUUUGUUUUCCUCACUUGUUCUCCGUGAGAUAACUCACAUCAAGGUCUUCAUGUGGUGGAAGUGCAUACAGUGCAUCACUGCAGAUUUGAGCUAUUUGAAGUAUCUUUGUUGCAACGCUAGCACAAAAGAUACAGGAUUCUUCACACAUUUUUGUAAUAUCUCCAACUUCUCUUACUUCCCAACGUACUUUCAUUCUUUGGAAAAGCUUUUAUUUUUGCUUCUAUUUGGUAGUGACAACAGGUUAAGCACUAAAAAAAAACCCUUUGACUUGGGUUUUGUGCUAAACAGCUUAUAGCAUUGUUCCUCUGAGAGUGAUGCCCUAAACAAGAGAUUGCACCAUGGGGCUGGUUGAGGCAUGGAUUUGUCUGUCACAGGUAGUACAGGCUGUGCAAAAACCUUCCUGGCCUGUGCUGAAAAACUCAAAUCUUGCAAGUGUUUCUGACCCAACAAUUUCUAAAAAAUGGUUUGGCUUACCAGAAAUAUUAUCAUUCAGCUUUGGGAGUUUCUCAGAUAACAUGAAGGAAGCACUUGUUUACGGUUGUAUCUGAUGCCAGGGAAUGCUAUUACUUCUACACUCCGUAUCUUUUUGCUGGAGAGCACUUGUAAGGCAGAGAUGAUAUUCCUACGCUUCUCCUUGGAGAAAGCAGCAAGUUCUGGAUUUGAAUCUUAAAAUGUGCAGUAUUUUACCACAUACUUGAUUUUAGCAAGUUGCUGCUAUUAUCCCUUCCAAGUCUGCAGCAAGUCCCUAAGCUUGUAAAUGUUUGUCAUUAGAGCUCAGGAGCUUUCUAUGUAAUAAAGCUUCUCUCCUUAUUUAAUAAAGACUGUUCUAUUAAAUGAUUUGCCUGUGUUUACAUGUGCAUAAUGAGGAAUCCAGCAGAAAACCAAACAAGUUUGCAGGCUUCAGAUGCUGGCUGCUG